GUCUAUGGCCAUGCCACCCUGAACAUGCCCGAGCUCGUCUGAUCUCAGAAGCUAAGCAGAGUCGAGCCUGGUUAGUACUUGAAUGGGGGACCACCUAGGAAGACUGGGUGCUGUAGGCA
rnacentral:rRNA from 1 species